ACACACCGCCCGUCACACCAUGGGAGUGGGUUGCAAAAGAAGUAGGUAGCUUAACCUUCGGGAGGGCGCGUACCACUUUGUGAUUCAUGACUGGGGUGAAGUCGUAACAAGGUCACCGUAGGGGAACCUGCGGUUGGAUCACCUCCUUA
rnacentral:rRNA from 1 species